AGGGGGCACCCAAAACUUCACACAAAACCAGCCCUUUAGCUAUUGUACCAGAAUACACAGCCCAUAUCAAACCUUCCAUGAUUUCUGAAGAAUGUGAUCACUGUGGGAAGGCAUGGGGAGACGGUCCCUGCAAAAGGCUGUCACCAUCCCAGGUACCGUCCUAUACCUACACAGUGUCUGUUCUCCAGAAGUUGUUAGUGCUGUGCGUCACUGCUCUGCCUUCUCUCUCCCUCACAGGCUGCUGGUGCAGAAUGCUAGAUGCUUGUGACGGGGCUAAGUUGAACAAGGAGCUGUUUAGGAUCAGAUGCCCCUCCUCUUUGUCUCCCAACUGCAUGUGUCCUUGUUACAACUCAAUAUUGGCUGCAGAGGGGCUUGUUUUGGUUGGGGGCCAGCCCAGGGCUCCCUCUCAGCGCUAAUGCACCAAGAACACUGACUCAGUAGCAAAUCAAAGCAACAGCUGUCCCCACCUCCUUCUCUGCCACCCACUUCCCAGUCUCUCUGCUCCUCAGAAUCUUA
rnacentral:lncRNA from 1 species